CGCGUAGGCGGUUCGGCAAGUUAGAUGUGAAAGCCCGGGGCUCAACCUCGGAAUUGCAUUUAAAACUGCUGGGCUAGAGGCCGAGAGAGGUGAGUGGAAUUCCCAGUGUAGAGGUGAAAUUCGUAGAUAUUGGGAAGAACACCAGUGGCGAAGGCGGCUCACUGGCUCGGUUCUGACGCUGAGGUGCGAAUGCGUGGGGAGCAAACA
rnacentral:rRNA from 1 species